UAAUUCUAGAGCUAAUACAUGCUGAAAAUCCCGACUUNNGAAGGGAUGUAUUUAUUAGAUACAAAACCCNAUGCCCUUCGGGGCUCUCUUGGUGAUUCAUGAUAACUUCUCGANUCGCACGGCCCCGCGCCGGCGAUGGUUCAUUCAAAUUUCUUCCCUAUCAACUUUCGAUGCUACGGUAGUGUCCUAGCAUGGUUGCAACGGGUGACGGAGGGUUAGGGCUCGACCCCGGAGAAGGAGCCUGAGAAACGGCUACUACAUCCAAGGAAGGCAGCAGGCGCGCAAAUUACCCAAUCCCGACACGGGGAGGUAGUGACGAUAAAUACCGAUACAGGGCUCUUUUGGGUCCUGUAAUUGGAAUGAGUACAAUUCAAAUCCCUUAACGAGGAACAAUUGGAGGGCAAGUCUGGUGCCAGCAGCCGCGGUAAUUCCAGCUCCAAUAGCGUAUAUUAAAGUUGUUGUGGUUAAAAAGCUCGUAGUAGAAGCUCGGGCUCCGGCCGACCGGUCCGCCUCACCGCGUGCACUGGUUCGGCCGGGCCUUCACCUUCUGCGGAACCGCAUCUCCUUCACUGGGGGUGUCGGGGAAACAGGACGUUUACUUUGAAAAAAUUAGAGUGCUCCAGGCAGGCCUAUGCUCGAAUAGAUUAGCAUGGAAUAAUGGAAUAGGACGUGUGGUUCUAUUUCGUUGGUUUCUAGGACCGCCGUAAUGAUUAAUAGGGACAGUCGGGGGCAUCAGUAUUCAAUCGUCAGAGGUGAAAUUCUUGGAUCGAUUGAAGACUAACUACUGCGAAAGCAUUUGCCAAGGAUGUUUUCAUUUAUCAGGAACGAAAGUUAGGGGAUCGAAGACGAUCAGAUACCGUCGUAGUCUUAACCAUAAACUAUGCCGACUAGGGAUCGGACGGUGUUCUUUCUUGACCC
rnacentral:rRNA from 1 species